rnacentral:lncRNA from 1 species
ACAGAAAACUAGGAAAUGAUAGACGUAUCAGUAGUAACUAUUUUAAAGAACAGUUAGGACAAUUUUUAACAAUGUGUUGCACAGGUGAAAAUUAAGAUGUUUGUGUAUUAUUUCUCAGACUAUCAAGGAAUACCAGGAUAGUACCAUGGGAAGGGGGAAUUAUUUUCUGCAAAAAAGCUUCAUUGAGAGAUUCAAUAAGAAUCUCAUGUUAUAUAAUACCAUUAGUUACAGGUCUUAAAUAUGCAAGAGAACAAUAAUGCACAAGUGAAGCCUACUGGACCUAGUAUCUUCACUGGACCACAACCUAGCAAGAGAGCCUUUAAAAGAAACUUAAAUUUAUUAUGUGUCAAUUUGAUUAGCACAUCAUACAACAUUAAAAGGAACCUCAGCCAUUUCCCCUUCAGGGAAACAUCAUUAAUUUUAUAACAAAAAUUUUGAGAAAAUACAAUUUAACAUUAAAUAACUUUUUAAAUAAGCAACUUAGUGUAGAUGUUCUAUACUAAUUAUUUUUUAU